rnacentral:rRNA from 1 species
UACAGAGGUUCCAAGCGUUGUUCGGAUUCAUUGGGCGUAAAGGGUGCGUAGGUGGCGCCGUAAGUCGGGUGUGAAAUUUCGGAGCUUAACUCCGAAACUGCAUUCGAUACCGCGGUGCUUGAGGACUGGAGAGGAGACUGGAAUUCAUGGUGUAGCAGUGAAAUGCGUAGAGAUGAUGAGGAAGACCAGUGGCGAAGGCGACUUCCUGGCCUGUUCUUGACGCUGAGGCGCGAAAGCUAGGGGAGCAAACGGG